UGGAGUGGUUGAAAAAUGAGUUUUAAUGAAUCCAACCUAAGUGUAUGUAAACUUCCAACUUCAACUGUACAUGCAGGCUGGCAGAAUCAUAUUACUCUCGGCUCCGGGUAAUGGUACCCGGGCCAAGUCCACUUAAAUUUAUCCGGACCGAUUAACUUUUUCAGGAGAAAGGCCAUUUGAGGAUUUUAUUCGGCAGGUGUUGAAACACCAAAGGGGGGAAAGUGAUUUUAUUUCACCCCAAAGUCAUGGAAUUUGCUUGGUCAUUAAAAGUUCAAAUUGGUGAUGGUCUCUGCGAUCCUAUAGCUAUCAGGGAUGAUUCCUAAUUUUAGAGAAUCUCUGAUGCUAUAAAUGCUUUUGGUUUUAAUACAGGCUAUGGCAGUGUUUUUCGUAGUUACAGUCCACCAAAUUGAAAAGUGUAUAUUCACUUCCAUAAUAUUUGUUCUAGGCAAUAAACAUACAUGAUAGCCAUACUAAAAUGCAGUAAAAUGGCAGUACCAUGAAAUAAUGGUUGUUUAAUUAAUUAUAUCUGGUAGCUUGCUGUAUGUGUUGGCUUCUAAUGGUCAUUUUUCAUCUGUGUUAGCUAAUUGCACUGUUUAUUGUGCUGCACAUUUUCUUCUGUUCCACUGAAUUCUGUUUGGAAGUUUUAUGACUAACUAUUUAUUUAAGAAAUAACACAAGCAUGUCUUAUUUCAAUAUUUCAUUUAUUUCAUGCUUCAAUCCACUAGGGUUUUCAAAACCCUAUUUUUAUCGCAUUUAUUUCCAUACGUAAUUUGUCAAAAUGUAUUGCACCUGAAUUUGACCCUGAAAAUAUUACUAUUAUAUUUUCCCUUAGCUUUUAACCAAUUAACAGAAUCCGUGCAGUCAUUUAAUUUUCAUUUCUGUAGCUAAAUAUGGAGGUAACCAUAUUAGUUCUAGCUAUAAAUAAAUAAAAGAUCUCUGCAUGCAGCCUGCUUGCUCGAGCACAUUGGUCAACAGCAAGUUUUUCAAAAUGUACACAACUUCUAAAAGUGGUAGUCCCUGUUCACCUGAAUUCUUGUUUUACUUUUGUAAGUAAAGCGGCAGUUUGUUGGGGAGACUAAAGUCAAGGAAUCUUCUAGCUUGGAUGGAGGAAACAAAGGGAGGAGUACAUAAUUUAUCUAGCCUGUUGACUAAGAAAUUUCCUGAAACAUGUCAAUGACCUGAUGCAUGGCCUCUACAGCAGUGCUUCGGCACCCACUCAGUUACCAGUGACCUAUUUUGGCACAUCCCAGUGAAAGGAGAGAGCAGAAGCACCCUUCCUUAAAUCUAUAGUCAUUGACAAUCUGACCCAUCGCAUGACUCUUGAAGAGGGCCAUGAGAAUCUCCAGUACCCCAUAACACUCUUAAUCAUUCAUUGCCUUUAUAUAUUCUGUGUCCCUGUCUUUCUAUGCAUGUAGUCUGUGGGUGAAUUAUAAAACAAUUAUUGUAUGCAGAUGUGCAGAAACUUGUGCUUUAGAUUUGUUUUUGCCGUUGCUUGAUCCAUUUUAAAUGUAAGAAUAUUUUGCAGAUUAACUUAGCAUGUGCAGUUCUUUAUGAUAGCUACAUUAGCAGCGAAUUAUGAUUUAAUUUUGGUAUUCAGGCGAAUAUACUGAUAGGUCACCUUUGUCCUAGAGAGAUUUACAGUUUUCAAAACAUCACGCCAGGGUAAGCCUACACAACACCUUAUUUGAAGUGUUUCGGAAAAUCCCCUAUGGGAAAACUUAGUUGCAAUGGAUUGCAUUCGAAAACUAUUCAGACCCCUAGACUUUUCUACAUUUUGUCACUUUACAGCCUUAUUCAAAAAUGUUAAAAUAAAAAAUAAAAUAUCCCUCAAUAUAAACACAAUAUCCCAUAAUAACAAAGCAAAAGCAGGUUUUUAUACAUUUUUGUAAAUGUAUAAAAAUACAGAAAUUAAUUAUUGGGUAUGACGCGACAAGCUUGGCACACCUGUAUUUGGAGAUUCUCCCAUUUUUCUCUGCAGAUCCUCUCAAGCUCUGUCAGGUUAGAUGGGGAGCACUGCUGCACAGCUAUUUCCUGGGAUGCUUGAAUGGGUUUAAGUCCGGGCCACUCAAGGACAUUCAGAGACUUGUCCCGAAGCCACUCCUGUGUUGUCUUGGCUGUGUGCUUAGGGUUGUUGUCCUGUUGAAAGGUUAACCUUCGCCCAAGUCUGAGAACCUGCGCCAGAGCGCUCAGGACUUCAUCAAAUAUCUCUCUGUACUUUGCACCAUUCAUCUUUCCCUCAAUCCUGACUAGUUUCCCAAUCCCUACCGCUGAAAAACAUCCCCACAGCAUGAUGCUGCC